AAGACAACCAGAGGCCAGGAAGUUCCCAGGACCAACACCACUUCUGCCGGGUUUUGGGUUUUUUUCUCAUUAGAGUUUCACCUAAAACAGGAAGGUGUCUAGUCAACAUUGUGCCAACUGUCUCCAAGAACUGGGAACAGCAGCCACUUUCCCGCCCAAGCCGAGCUUUUGCAGAAAGGCACCAAAGCUGUUUCUAGUGCGCAGACAUGAUCCUGGUCCUCUUCUCAUUCCUGGGGAUACAGCUUUUCCUCGAUGUCCAGACGCAGACAGUUUCCCAGUCUGAUGCGCAUGUCACUGUCUUCGAAGGAGACCCGGUGGAGCUGAGAUGCAAGUAUUCCUAUGGUGGAUCCCUGUACCUCAGCUGGUACAUCCAGCACCAUGGCCAUGGCCUCCAGUUUCUCCUCAAGUACUAUUCAGGAAACCCAGUGGUUCGAGGAGUGAAUGGCUUCGAGGCUGAGUUCAACAAGAGUGACUCUUCCUUCCACCUGCGGAAAGCCUCUGUGCACUGGCGCGACUCAGCUGUGUACUUCUGUGCUCUAAGCGCACAGUGUGUGGGGCUGCAGGGGGAGCAGAACACAAACCCGUAAGGUGCGCAGGAGGGCGCUGCAGCUGAGUGACUCUCCAUCAUUCGUGCUCAUCACCCAUGUAAGGAGACUAAUCAACUUCCUGGUUCUCCAAGUUGGAAUUAUGUCAGUCUGUCCUUGGAACCCUAUGUGGGGUGUAUAGACAUUUGAUCAUAGCUCCCAGGAAGUGACAUAUCAGGGUAAAAAGAUUAAGUGCUCCUUGAGACAUAUUGCCUUUUUUUUAUUCGAUAUAUUUUUAAUUUACAUUUCAAAUGAUUUCCCCUUUUCUGGCUCUCCACUACCUGAAAGUCCCAUAAGCCCUCUUCCCUCCCCCUAUCCCCUCAUCCAACCCUUCCUACUUCCCUGUUCUGGUAUUCCCCUAUACUGCUGCACUGAGUCUUUCCAGAACCAGGGACCACUUUUCUGUUCCUCUUGGACAUCAAUUAAUUAUGUCUUGGGUAUUCCACAUUUCUAGGCUAAUAUCCACUUAUCAGUGAGUGCAUACCAUGAUUGAUCUUUUGAGAUUGGGUUGCCUCACUUAGUAUGAUAUUCUCCAUUUGUCUAAGAAUUUAAUAUUUAUUUUAUAGACUACAUUUUCUACUGAUGGAUUAUGUCCAUGAGAUUUAAGACACGACUCAGUUCUACAUAACCAGUAACUGCAGUGGGUGCUUAGAGUGUGCACUAGAGGGAGAGGUGUUGGCUUCCUUCAGCUCCAGACUGAAGGUCAGUGUUAAGAAGUACACUGCUUGCUCUCAACACCUCAAGAACCUCAGAAGCACUCUCCAUCUGUGAUCAUUAGUUUAGUUCACUUGCUGCGGUAUGGAAUCAUCCUGACGGGAAUCUCGAUAAGGAGUUAUCUCGAUUCGGUUGUCUUGUGAGUGUGUCUGUGGCAGAUUACAUUAACCACUGUGGGAAGACUCAGCCUGCAUUCGGGAAGCGCCAUUCCCAGAGUUUGGCCCUGAACACCACAGGAAACGGUGAACAGUUAGUAGAACACGGCAUGCAAACACUCUGCGCUCUGAUCCUGAUUGUGAAUGUGAUAUGACACGGUGGCUAAGGCUUUUGUUGCCCUGACAUGCACACAGUCCAUGCUAUGAUGGACUGUAACCUGGAAAGCUUAGGUCAGGUAAGCAUUCCUCUUCCUUCUAAGCUAUUUUUGUCAAGCUGUUUUGUCACAGCAAUGGAUAGGGAACUAGGAUGCCAUCCUUACUUUAGCAGACAUAAGAGCACAGAGUAAAGAGAUAGAAGGUAGGGAAGAGACCAGAGUCUGAUGUCAGCAGAUAAAACGAUUUCAAACGGCAAAGAGCAGACACUGCUUUGCAGGAAAUGGGCAUCUUCAAGGAAGGAGAGGGACUAUUAAGAGUUUAUAGAAGAUUGGGAUAAGGACUGUUGUGCAGUUGCAAGGGGCUAUCUACAAGUCUAAUGUCUUUCAUUCCUAGUAUUUUCUGCUCCUUUGCAACAGACUCUCAUGGGAAACAGGCUAUUUUACCAAAAACAUUUCCUUUCUGGGGCUCACUGAUAAGGACUGGAACAAGAACAGCUGGAGCCUCAUAAGGACACUGUUUGUAUGGCUGAGGUACACUGUCACGGGUGAGCAGUGCAGGAUUAUUUACUCCUCUGUAGGAAAUCAACGGGAGAGUGACACUUCAGCUCUUUUGUUUUGACUACGACACCUGGUAGGUAUUGGAUGGUAGGUCUGUAGCUCUGAAUAGCAGUUGUGAUAGACUUCUUUUCACCCUUCAUCAUCCCAGGCACGAUGUCUUACCUGGGAACAGCAUCCUAUGCCAUUUCUAAGUUUCUUAGUAGCCAGCUUUGUACAUGUGGUUGUUCACUGGCAAAAAUGACACAAGCCUGAAAUGUGUUUAUGAACAGAAAUGAGGAAGUGGACAACCACAAAGAUUUAGACAGUUAUAGUUGUUAUUUGAACAAAUUAUAACACCCUUUAGGUCUAUGUAUCUAAGUCAGUAUAGUUUUACUCAAUAUAAAGUUUUAACUAACUUUAAGACCAAUAAAAUUCCUAUUGUUUUUGUUUUUUCCUCCUAAGUGUUAUUCCCUUUCAUUCCCCAACAACAAAACUUAUAAACUUUAUUUCUCAAGUUUGUAUUUUGCAUUUCUAAUAUAUGUGU